UGCGACGCCGCGUGAAGGAUGAAGGUCUUCGGAUUGUAAACUCCUGUCUGUGGGAUAAAUAGCCCGGGUGUGAAUAGCACUUGGGAUGGAUAGUACCACAGGAGGAAGAGACGGCAAAAUCUGUGCCAGCAGCCGCGGUAAU
rnacentral:rRNA from 1 species